UACGGGGGGGGCAAGCGUUGUUCGGAAUUACUGGGCGUAAAGGGCUCGUAGGUGGCCAACUAAGUCAGACGUGAAAUCCCUCGGCUUAACCGGGGAACUGCGUCUGAUACUGGAUGGCUUGAGUUUGGGAGAGGGAUGCGGAAUUCCAGGUGUAGCGGUGAAAUGCGUAGAUAUCUGGAGGAACACCGGUGGCGAAGGCGGCAUCCUGGACCAACACUGACACUGAGGAGCGAAAGCCAGGGAGCAAAGCGGG
rnacentral:rRNA from 1 species